rnacentral:lncRNA from 1 species
GGAGUUCCCGUCGUGGCGCAGUGGUUAACAAAUCCAACUAGGAACCAUGAGGUUGCGGGUUCAAUCCCUGCCCUUUCUCAGUGGGUUAACGAUCCGGCGUUGCCGUGAACUGUGGUGUAGGUUGCAGAUGCUACUCAGAUCCCGCGUUGCUGUGGCUCUGGUGUAGGCUGGUGGCUAUAGCUCCGAUUAGACCCCUAGCCUGGGAACCUCCACGUGCCGCGGAAGUGGCCCAAGAAAUAGCAAAAAGACAAAAAAAAAAAAAAUCAAAUCAUUAAGAUUCAUAGCAAAAUUGGGAAAGGACUGAAAUUAGUGUGUGGAGGUAGUUAUAAAUAAGAAAUAAAGCAACUAUAUUUAAUUUUUUUAAAAAAUUUAAAAAAGAAAGCUAGAUUUGAAACUUGGUUCUACCCCUGAUAACUAUGUGGCCUCAGAUGAGUUUCCUAAACUUCCUCAUUUGUGAAAUGACAAUAAAACAUAGGAUUAUUUAAGAUGAUAAGAGAUGAAAAAAAGUUUAUAAAGUUAUGUUUUUGAGUCAUAGCACAACCUGUUUCAGUAGAAAUUUUCUCAAGGCCACCAUAACAUCUUUGUUUCUCAGACAAUAUAUCAUAGGGUUAAACACUGGUGUGACAAUGGUGUAAAAAAGAGAAAGAAAUUUGUCCACCCCUAUUGAACGACUGAAAUUUGGUCUCAAAUAUGUCAUGAUGCCUGAUCCAAAGAAUAAAGCCACAACGAUGAGAUGGGAGGAACAGGUGGAAAAGGCUUUGGCUCGCCCCGUGGCUGAAGGCAGGUUCAAGAUGCUCCCAGUUAUUUUCACAUACGAUCCAAGAAUCAACAUAAAAGGAAUAGUGACAACUAGGACAGCAACCACAUAAAUCAACAGCUCAAUCAAAGAGGUAUCCCCACAGGUGAGUUUAAGGACUGGAGGUAUGUCACAGAAAAAGUGAUUCAACUGGUUCGAGCCACAGAAAGGGAGAGAGAAGAUCUGGUAGGUAAAGCCUACAUGCACUGGGAUUCCACUGACCCAACAGCCAGCUGCCAGUCGGAUGCACAGCCUACUGUUCAUGAUGAGUGGGUAGAGUAAUGGGUUGCAAAUGGCAACGUACCUGUCAUAAGCCAUGGCAGUCAGAAGAAAACACUCAGUUGCUCCCAACACCAGAAAGAAGUACAUUUGAGUAGCACAGGCCAGAAAGGAUAUGUUUCUGUUUUGUCUGCAAAGAUCUGUCAAUAAUCUGGGGACAGUGACUGAUACGUAACAUAUUUCCAAGGAUGAAAAGUUCCUCAGGGAAAAAUACAUAGGGGUCUGGAGGGAAGGAUCAAUCUUGGUUAUGAUGAUAAUCAGGCUAUUUCCCAUCAGAAUAAUCACAUAGAUGAUCAAAAACACCCCAAAAAGAAAUCCUUGGAGGCUGGGGGCAUCAGAGAAGCCAAGCAAGAUGAAAUCCAGCAAUGUAGUCUGAUUCCACUGCAAGGAAUUUUGUCCCCUGGUUCCUGUCUAUGAACAAAAAAGUUUAGGAUUCACUUCAGUUUGAUGGGUCCAGCAGAAAAUGGGCCAUAACAAUUUAUGCUUUUAAAUGCACUGACACAGGAUAGAUAUCCAUCUUUUGGGUUUGUUUAAUAUUUUUGUUAAUGAUUUCUAAACCACAAUUUAAAAACAGAAAAUAAUAUGAAACCCUCUCAUUUCUGCCCAUAUUAAAGAUUAUGAAUAUAUGAAUAACCCAGCACACACACACACACACACACAUGCACACACACGCACACACACACAAACAGUGAUGUAAGAGCCAAUACAUAAAGUUAUCUAUUCUCAGAAAAAGUACUGCUCUAGGCAACAUGGGGCAUUCUCUCCUGAAAAACGUUUCUCUGUCCUGAUCAUUUUAGUCUCUGUUUGCUUAAUUGUUUAUUUUCUGCCUACCCCCUAUUACCUGCAAUCAUUUAUACGAUUCUCUCACAUUCACUUUGAUGUUGUCCCUGAGAGCUCCAUCUCACAUAGUCAGAAAGCAGGGGUGAUCAGUAAGACUUUGCUGCUAGGCCAAGUUCAGGCUAGCCUGGCCACUCGCUAUCUGGGAAAGAGACUUACACACUGAACAGUAAAAUAAGAAAUAUUUUCUUGCCUCCAUUAUAGAAAAAUAUUCCAUUAAACAUAUCAGAGAAAUGUAUGUGAGAAAUAAAAUAUCCUGUGAGUCACAUGUUAACUUGACCCUUAGAAAAUGAAAUAAAAUGAAUAGGAUUUUGUCAUAAUAGGUUCUCAACCCCACUAGGAACCUCAACCCUCUUAACAACCCUACUUAUUCAAAAUUGUAGACCUGUAAUAUUAAUUAAAUAUGUUUAUACCCUUUAUGGGUUAAUUUUUUAAAAGCAGAAAAUAAAAUGUAUAAAAAAAAAGAAUUUGACCUCAGAAAUCAUAUACCUCACACCUGACAAAAUGCAAUAUCUGUCUGUAUGUUAUAUUUAUCUUUAAAUAUGAAUUUCUGAAUAUAUAUAAAACAUACAUUGUGGAUGUGUUAUAUGGGUAUAUACAUAAUGUAUAUUCUAAAUCACUAUAUCUGAAUUACUAUCAGAAAGCCUGGUGCUGUAGUUCCCAUUGUGGCCUAGCGGGUUAAGAACUGACAUAGUCUAUCUGAGGAUGCUGAUUUGAUCCCCCGUCUUCCUCAGUGGGUUAAGGACACACUGCCACAACCUGAUGAGGUGAAUGUGAUGCUGCUCUGGCUGAGGCUGUGGCAUAGGCUGUAGCUGCAGCUCUGAUGUGACCCCUGGUCUGGGAACUUCCAUAGGCUGCAGCUGUGGCUGUAAAAAAAAAAAAA